rnacentral:lncRNA from 1 species
UUAUUCCUGAGCAACACGAAAGUACACGUGUCUCCAUUGUCUAAAUAUGAUUGACAAGAUUUUAAAACUGAACUUACUUGAAGGUUGAGUUGACGGGCAUGAGCACGAGUAAGAGGACCAGCUAUAGGUUGUGUCGGAGAGGAUGUAGGACCAGCUAUAGGUUGUGUCGGAGAUGUAGGACCAGCUAUAGGUUGUGUCGGAGAGGAUGUAGGAGAGGAUGU